UGCUGGUCCAUUCAUCUCGUACAUCUUGGUUUGUUGUGUUUUUCUUUCUCUGUCUAAGUAUGUAAUGAAAGCCCAUGCUCUGUGUUGUCAUCAAUAGGCAAACGUGUACGGAAUGAAGACAAAGCCUGCCACAGCACUGAUUUACAGCCAUUUCCUCUGGGCAGUCAGCAACAGCAGGAUGCUUGUCUGCAUCCCCAUUGGAAGGUGGCUUCUGUGCAUUCUCAUGGAUCCAGUAAAGUGAAGCUUGUGUUCUGGUGCUGUCUGGCCUAAGAUACAGGUCCGAUUACAGCUGUUUGUGCCUAGAAUUCCAUCACUUUCCAGGUGAAAUAACACAAUUACAUGAAUAUCUGCCAGUGGAAGAUAGUAAAUGUCCUGCCUGAUGGUUUGGGAAAGCAAUAGCAAGAAUCCAAGCAACUGCUACAGUGUUUAUGAAGCCCCCACCAGAGAUAUUUGCUACCUGGCCAACAGAGCCCUGUGGUGGUAAGCCUUUUGAGUGAGGAAUCACAGCUUCCCAUUUUUACAUCAGCCUGCAUAAUGAGAAAAUAGAACAUUUCAGCAAGACCAUUGCCAUGUGGAAGGCUUCUAAAUCAGGAGAUGUCACUAAAUUAGGGAUGGGAAGAUUCCAAGAGCCAGAGUGCCAUCAAGUCUGACGUGAAAGUCUCUCCUAGAAAUCGCUUCAUAAACAACAGCAGAACAAUAAAACAUCGUUGAACAUAUUAAUUUGGAAAGGAGACAUUUUCAUGAGGUCCCACCCCUAAAGCAAUAACUAAAGGGCCCUCAUCUGUACAGUAAAACACAAUUGCUACUGUCUUUCUCCUACAAGGAUCACAUCAGCACUGGGAUUACCAUUGUAUAUGCCUUGUUCCUAAACCUGUGAAAUGAUGAAUUGAACUCAAGAAGCAUCAUUCUGCUUGUUACCAUAUGGAGUCUAGACUUGAAGUCUCAUCUAUGUGUCCUGAAGCAGAAAAGCUUGUUUCAGAAGACAAUCAUUACUGCAGUUUCUUAAAUGUCAAACUGCUGAGAAUACAUGAGUGAGUGUUGCAGCAGAAUCUUACUGAAUCACCAUGUUGCAGAUGCUUGUUAGAAU